rnacentral:lncRNA from 1 species
CGACACUUGGAAGACUUCUUCUUGAGAGGUCAAAACCUUGUCGACAACGGUUAAAAUAAUGCCAAAUUAAACUAGAGAGAUUGAAUCUCAAACUCUAACAUAAUAGAGGGAGUAAAACUAGAAUUAGAGCAUAAUGAUGAGGGAUGGGUACCAUGGCAAAGGAAAACAAGAGCCUUCGAAGAAGAUGAAGGCAAACAUCUGCAAGUAAAAAGCAUAGUUCCUCUUGAAUUCUUUAUAUUCUCCUGAGUUUCAUGAACGUUUUCAUCAAUGGAAGCAUUCGUAUAUAUAACAGCCAAAAACAAUAAGCAUUAAAAUGAAGAAAAAGGCCAUUUCUGCUUUAUUUACCUCAUUAUAUUCAACUUCCAUGUUCAUGAAAAUUCAACUUCAACUCUUCCUUUUUCUUUUUUCAUAGUGGAUAACAGAUUUUU